rnacentral:tRNA from 1 species
CAUUAAGAAGCUAUGUACCAGCACUAGCCUUUUAAGCUAGAAAUAGAGGACCCCUCUCCUCCUUAAUGA